rnacentral:rRNA from 1 species
GAUGAACGCUGGCGGCGUGCUUAACACAUGCAAGUCGAACGGGAUCCAUCAGGCUUUGCUUGGUGGUGAGAGUGGCGAACGGGUGAGUAAUGCGUGACCGACCUGCCCCAUACACCGGAAUAGCUCCUGGAAACGGGUGGUAAUGCCGGAUGCUCCAGUUGAUCGCAUGGUCUUCUGGGAAAGCUUUCGCGGUAUGGGAUGGGGUCGCGUCCUAUCAGCUUGACGGCGGGGUAACGGCCCACCGUGGCUUCGACGGGUAGCCGGCCUGAGAGGGCGACCGGCCACAUUGGGACUGAGAUACGGCCCAGACUCCUACGGGAGGCAGCAGUGGGGAAUAUUGCACAAUGGGCGCAAGCCUGAUGCAGCGACGCCGCGUGAGGGAUGGAGGCCUUCGGGUUGUAAACCUCUUUUAUCGGGGAGCAAGCGAGAGUGAGUUUACCCGUUGAAUAAGCAC